GGUACCGUCAUCAACCAGACUUUCUCUUUCUGAUCUUAUUCUUCCCGUAUAAAAGGACUUUACAACGUUUCCGCCUUCAUCGUCCACGCGGCGUCGCUCCGUCAGGAUUGCUCCCAUUGCGGAAAAUUCUUAG
rnacentral:rRNA from 1 species